rnacentral:snRNA from 1 species
AAACCUGCUUGGGGAGAACGAUGGGUGACAUCAGGUUUAAGCAGGUGGUUUUACCCACGUUGAGGCUCGGUCAUUGCACUCUGACCGUCCUGACCCUGUGAAUUCCCCGGUUGUGGGAAUGUCAACUGCAUCACUUGUGGUAAUGGGGGCUGUGCUCACACUCUUUUG